rnacentral:lncRNA from 1 species
UUCUGCAUUAACUCUGCCUCAGUACCUUAUCAAACUUCAAAAUCCAUGUCCUAUAUAUAUCUUUCAUUACUCAAUCAAACAACUUAUACAACCCUCCUGUAUAGGCGGAAACAUCUGCCACCGAACCACCAUCUCCUUUCCCAUCUCCUUGUUGUACUACACUUACCACCCCCUCCUCACCUUCAAUUUACCAUCGUUAAUAUACCUCCGACCUCUGGCCUCCAACAUCACCUAGCAGCUACCUCUGUCCCCUGUUAUGUCUUCAUCGAGGCAAAAGCCAACCAAGACACCACCACCACUUGAUUCAGCAAACAAGUACCACACUCCUACUGUUGUAUUUCAAUUUCAAACACCAGCACUCACACCAGCUUCUCCCAUUCAGAACCAAACAGCCAACUCCCCCUUCUCCGUCUUCGAUUUCAGGCCACCAGCAACCAUCCUGCACAAUCCAAUCACCAAUCACAAGAGUUUAGCCCUGUCUUCUUCCCCCUUCUGAAAGCAGCCCAGCCAACACCAUCAACUCCGGCGGCCAGGUUCUCCGUACCCAAGGUGACCACCACCUCUGCUUUAUCUUACCAAGCAGCCCUCCCUUACCAUCACCUCCAACCAUCCUCCGCAAUACACCUCCAAGAACAGCCAAGCAUACAAAAAUAAACACACAUAAACAACUUAUCUCUCUCGCUUACACCAUCUCUCCAUCCCUUUCUGUUUCCCUCUGUCCGAUUUCGCCAUCCCCAAACAAACCCAUCGCCUACAACCACGACAUCGACCCACCAGCGGCGCAACCCUCAGCCGCCAUCGGAGAAACAACACAACACCAACUAAAGAGUGAACCACCGCCAAUCAGCCACCAAACAAUCAACAAUAUCCACACAAACCUAUGUAUAUAUAUACAAACACGGUGAAUGAAAUCGAUUCUCACCCUCAAGCUGAUUGAAUUGAUCGAAUUAAAGAAAGAGAGAAGAAGUGAAAAACCCUAAUUUCCCUCUGUUCUUUCGCUAGCACCAAGCCACCGCCUUUGCUCUGUCUUUUCUUUUUAUAUCUGCUUUGUUAUACUACGUGUACCACACAUGUACAACUACUAUUUCUAUUUGAUCAAAAGAAAUUAAAAUGAUUUUAUAUACAAACAAUACAGAUAUAAAAAUAAUCAUCUUGGCCUCAAUCCU